rnacentral:lncRNA from 1 species
CAUGAAAGUGCCUUAUGAGUUGUAUACGUUACCCUGAAAUUGAAAAAUCUGGCAACUUCUGUAACUACAGGUAAAAAUAUUUUGAUUCACAGUGGUGUCACCAUGCAAGGAGAUGGUCACUUGGAUCGAGGCAUCAGGCUGCUAUGCGCGAUGGAGAGGGGCACACAGCAGCGUAAGAUGAAGCAGAAGACUUCAGCUGCUGCUGCUGGAAACUAACCCUGGGUUUGUAGCCACACAGGCCGUGACAAGAUUGCCAUCUCGCAUCUGGAAACCACCAUAAACCCCUGGUCCAGGUGUGUCUUCGUGGGUGCAAAAGUGAGAGACAGGAGGCUUUGGGGAGCAAAGAUCAUGAGGUCAUCCACAAUGGCUUCCCUGCGUUCCUGUUUGUCACUGGCAGUUUGGUCCACCUGGAGGUGACCAUGCAGCAUGUCAUGGGGAUUCCACGCACGCUCUCUCAGUGACUACGACUG